CCCGGGAGAGCCGGAGGUAUACGGUUGCGUUUCGUCUGCCCGCAGGGGGUAUCACUUGCCCGCUACAGAAGCCCUAAGCUGUCUGGCAGUCGGGAUACCCUCUCCUGCUGGCACCCGCAGACGCCCCUGCAGCCGCGGCCGAAGCCGGGGCACCCUCGCCCUGAGAGCGUCGGAGCCCUGCGCGGCGGCGCGCAUUCCACCUCCGCGCCUUGUUCGCGGAGCAGGACCAGGGAGAGAGAACCGCCGGUCGAGUUCUGGGCACUGCGCCCGGCGCGAGGUGCGGGAUGGAGAGCAAGGCGCUGCUGGCCUUUGCUCUGUGGCUCUGCGUGGAGACCCAGGCUGCCUCUGUGGGUUUGUCUAGCGUUUCUCUUGAUCCACCCAGGCUCAGCAUAAAAAAAGACAUACUUACAAUUAUGGCUAACACAACGCUUCAAAUUACUUGCAGGGGUCAGAGGGACUUGGACUGGCUUUGGCCCAACAAUCAGAGCGGCUCUGAGAAAAGAGUGGAGGUGACGGAUUGCAGUGACAGUGCCUUAUGUAAGAUGCUCACCAUUCCAAAAGUGAUUGGAAAUGAUACUGGAGCCUACAAGUGCUUCUACCGGGACACUGACAUGGCCUCCGUCGUCUAUGUGUAUGUUCAAGAUUACAGAUCUCCGUUUAUUGCUUCUGUCAGCGACCAACAUGGAGUUAUAUACAUCACUGAGAACAAAAACAAAACUGUGGUGAUUCCGUGUCUGGGGACCAUUUCAAACCUCAAUGUGUCACUUUGUGCAAGGUAUCCAGAAAAGAGGUUUGUUCCUGAUGGCAACAGAAUUUCCUGGGACAGCAAGAAAGGCUUCACUAUUCCCAGCUACAUGAUCAGCUAUGCUGGCAUGGUCUUCUGUGAAGCAAAAAUUAAUGAUGAAAGUUACCAGUCUAUUAUGUACAUAGUUGUGGUUGUAGGGUACAAGAUUUAUGAUGUGGUUCUGAGCCCCCCUCACGGAGUUGAGCUGUCUGUUGGAGAGAAGCUUGUCUUAAAUUGUACAGCAAGAACUGAACUAAAUGUGGGGAUUGACUUCAACUGGGAAUACCCUUCUUUGAAGCAUCAGCAUAAGAAACUUGUAAACCGGGACCUAAAAACCCAGUCUGGGAGUGAGAUGAAGAAGUUUUUGAGCACCUUGACUAUAGAUGGUGUAACCCGGAGUGACCAAGGGUGGUACACCUGUGCCGCUUCCAGUGGGCUCAUGACCAAGAGGAACAGCACAUUCAUCAGGGUCCAUGAAAAACCUUUUGUUGCUUUUGGUAGUGGCAUGGAAUCUUUGGUGGAAGCCACCGUGGGAGACCGUGUCAGAGUCCCUGUGAAGUGCCUUGGUUACCCUCCUCCAGAAAUAAAAUGGUAUAAAAAUGGAAGACCCAUUGAGUCCAAUCACACAAUUAAAGUGGGGCACGUACUGACUAUUAUGGAAGUGAGUGAAAAAGAUACAGGAAAUUACACUGUCAUCCUUACCAAUCCCAUUUCAAAGGAGAAACAGAGCCAUGUGGUAUCUCUGGUUGUGAAUGUCCCACCCCAGAUUGGUGAGAAAUCUCUGAUCUCUCCCGUGGACUCUUACCAGUACGGCACCUCCCAAACGCUGACGUGCACGGUCUAUGCCGUUCCUCCCCCGAGUCACAUCCAGUGGUACUGGCAGCUGGAAACAGAGUGUACCUACCAGCCCAUCCAAGCUGCCUUAACGACAAACCCACAUACCUGUAAAGAAUGGAGAAACGUGGAGGACUUCCAGGGGGGAAACAAUAUCGAAGUCAACAAAAAUCAAUUUGCCCUAAUUGAAGGAAAAAACAAAACUGUAAGUACCCUUGUUAUCCAAGCAGCCAAUGUAUCCGCUUUGUACAAAUGUGAAGCGGUGAACAAAGCUGGGCGAGGAGAGAGGGUUAUCUCCUUCCACGUGACCAAGGGUUUUGAAAUCACUUUGCAACCCGGCACCCAGCCCACCGAGCAGGAGAGCGUGUCUCUGUGGUGCUCCGCGGACCGAACUAUGUUUGAGAACCUCACGUGGUACAAACUUGGCCCACAGGCUCUGCCCAUCCACGUGGGAGAGCUGCCCACACCUGUUUGCAAGAACUUGGAUGCUCUUUGGAGAAUGAACGCCACGAUGAUCUCUAAUAGCACAAAUGACAUUUUGAUCAUGGAGUUGCAGAAUGCAUCCUUGCAGGACCAAGGAGACUACAUCUGCUUUGCUCAGGACAGGAAGACCAAGAAAAGACAUUGCGUGGCCAGGCAGCUUACAGUCCUAGAGCGCAUGGCACCUACAAUCACAGGAAACCUGGAGAACCAGACAACAAGUAUUGGUGAAACCAUCGAAGUUUCCUGCACAGCGUCUGGGAAUCCCCCUCCACAGAUUACAUGGUAUAAAGAUAAUGAGACACUUGUGGAAGAUUCAGGCAUCGUGCUAAAAGAUGGGAACCGGAACCUAACUAUCCGCAGGGUGAGGAAGGAGGAUGAAGGCCUGUACACCUGCCAGGCAUGCAGUGUUCUCGGGUGUGCAAAAGUGGAGGCGUUUUUCAUAGUGGAAGGUGCCCAGGAAAAGACAAACUUGGAAGUCAUUAUUCUAGUCGGCACUGCAGUGAUUGCCAUGUUCUUCUGGCUACUUCUUGUCAUCGUUCUACGGACCGUUAAGCGGGCCAGUGGAGGGGAACUGAAGACGGGCUACUUAUCCAUCGUCAUGGAUCCAGACGAACUCCCCCUGGAUGAGCACUGUGAACGCCUGCCUUAUGAUGCCAGCAAAUGGGAAUUCCCCAGAGACCGGCUGAAACUAGGUAAGCCUCUUGGCCGUGGUGCCUUUGGGCAAGUGAUUGAAGCAGAUGCCUUUGGAAUUGACAAGACAGCAACCUGCAAGACAGUGGCUGUCAAAAUGUUGAAAGAAGGAGCAACACACAGCGAACACCGAGCCCUCAUGUCUGAACUCAAGAUCCUCAUUCAUAUUGGCCACCAUCUCAAUGUGGUCAAUCUUCUUGGUGCCUGUACCAAGCCAGGGGGGCCACUCAUGGUGAUUGUGGAAUUCUGCAAGUUUGGAAACCUGUCAACUUACUUAAGGAGCAAGAGAAAUGAGUUUGUCCCCUACAAGACUAAAGGGGCACGAUUCCGGCAAGGGAAAGAAUACGUUGGGGAAAUCACCGUGGAUCCUAAACGCCGCUUGGACAGCAUCACCAGUAGCCAGAGCUCAGCCAGCUCCGGAUUUGUUGAGGAGAAAUCCCUCAGUGAUGUGGAGGAAGAGGAAGUUUCUGAAGAUGUGUACAAGAACUUCCUGACCUUGGAGCAUCUCAUCUGUUACAGCUUCCAAGUGGCUAAGGGCAUGGAGUUUUUGGCAUCACGGAAGUGUAUCCACAGGGACCUGGCAGCGAGAAACAUCCUCUUGUCGGAGAAGAAUGUGGUUAAAAUCUGUGACUUUGGCUUGGCCCGGGAUAUUUAUAAAGACCCAGAUUAUGUCAGAAAAGGAGAUGCUCGCCUCCCUUUGAAAUGGAUGGCCCCGGAAACAAUUUUUGACAGAGUGUACACAAUUCAGAGUGACGUGUGGUCUUUUGGUGUCCUGCUCUGGGAAAUAUUUUCCUUAGGUGCUUCUCCAUAUCCUGGAGUAAAGAUUGAUGAGGAAUUUUGUAGGAGAUUGAAAGAAGGAACUAGAAUGAGAGCUCCUGAUUAUACCACACCCGAAAUGUACCAGACCAUGCUUGACUGCUGGCAUGGGGAGCCCAAUCAGAGACCCACGUUUUCAGAGCUGGUGGAACAUUUGGGAAAUCUGUUACAAGCGAAUGCUCAGCAGGAUGGCAAAGACUACGUUGUUCUUCCCAUAUCAGAGACUUUGAGCAUGGAAGAGGAUUCGGGACUCUCUCUGCCUACCUCACCUGUUUCCUGUAUGGAGGAAGAGGAAGUGUGUGACCCCAAAUUCCAUUAUGACAACACAGCAGGAAUCAGUCAGUAUCUGCAAAACAGUAAGCGAAAGAGCCGGCCUGUCAGUGUAAAAACAUUUGAAGAUAUCCCGUUGGAAGAACCAGAAGUAAAAGUAAUCCCAGAUGACAACCAGACGGACAGUGGUAUGGUUCUUGCAUCCGAAGAGCUGAAAACCUUGGAAGACAGAAGCAAAUUAGCCCCAUCUUUUAGGUUUGAAGACUGGCAUAAGGACUCAGCAUGAAGAACAAAUUGCUGGAUGACAAGCGCCUGGGAAGAUUGCAGUGUGAUAGAGUCAGGAUUCAGUAAAAGCUCACUGGCUUAUUGCAGGGAUUGGCAACAAGAGUUGCCCUUCUGUUUUCUGAAGUUACUUUAAGGAUCAUCUUUCAGAAGGAAAACAACCUGGCAUAUAAACCACUUCUGAGCCUGUUUAUCCAGAGUGGGGGGUGAGGACACUAAUAGGCAUGAAAAACAAUUUCACGGGUGUUAAGCUGUAGCUCCAGGCUUCACCUUCAAGGAAUCAGUGUCUCAGGCUCUGCUAUUGAACAAGAAGAUGUUGAUGCCAGUGUCUCUGGGGAAGACAAGAGACUAGAUUGAAUAUUGCUGAAUUUGUUUUCUGAAGAAAUAUUUAGAAACAUCUGCCCUUCACUUUUCAUCUUUUCACCUGCACACCUGAUUAAACAUCUAUAAAAGUAACUGCAAAGUCGGAUAAUCACCACAAUGAGGACCAGAUGCAGAUGUGCCUCCUGGAAAAGGGAGUGUAUCGCAGUGGAAGAGUAGCACGUGGGGAUGGCUAGGAAAGGGAAGACAAAUAGGGCAGCCAGAGACGUGUCUCAGGAGAAGGCUGGGGAGAUCAUUCUGGAACCUCCCCAGUCUCUGGACUAGGCCAGAAAGGUACAGGCUGAGCCAAGAACUCAUGAAUGCCUCUGGUCAGUGAGUUAAUCAUUUAAUGAAUAAGGAAACUAUGCAGGGCCUCCAGGUUAAAGGUUAACGGGCAGGGUUUCAAAAACAAUUUCAUUAAGUAGACACUAAUAGAUUACAACUUCUGUGUUCCCACAUUAAAACAAGAAACUGGUUCAAAUGAACGAAUGCAUACUGGAUUCAAAAUGAUUUUUAAAAAAGUGUGAGUGAGCGGCUGAGGAAAGCUGAAAUCUUAAGAUAGAAAUAAAAGCACCACGUAGUAAGGAGCAUAGAGUAGCUAUUGGGAAGUUAAUUGUGUAUCCAUUGAUCUUCCCGAAGAGACAGUGGUUCUAUAGAUAGUGGUCCAGGGAGGGACUCUGUCUUCAUCCUUCUGUUCCUCAUAGUGGAUUAAUUCAAUAAAUAGGAGUUGAAUUCAACUCAGUGUCACACUGGCAUUAUGGUUGUACAUUGGGUAUGCAGAAAAAAAAUCAGUGAAAUUGUUUAUAGUACCAAGAAUUCCCUAUAAUGGAUUUAACUCACCUGUACCUUCAAACUGAGAAAGAAAAAAGGAUACACUCAUUAUGUAAUAAAAUUAAGGUAUGUGUUUUAAACACCUGGAAAGAAAUCCAGCUGUCAUGUUUCAACCCCCCAACAUCAAAUGGACUGAAGAUGGAUUGUUAAGAACCACUACCACCACCGCUACGGUAACAGCAAACACAGAGCAGACACCGUUCCAAGUAUUUUACAUAUUAAUGCACUUAAUUCUCAUAAAACUCUAUAAGAUAGGUACUCCUGUGGUCUUCAUUUUACAGAGAGAGAAACUGAGACACAGAGAGGUUACAUUACUUGCCCCAGGUCAUACAACAAGUGAGCAGCAGAAGCUGGAUUUGAAUCAAUGCACUUAGGCUCUAAACUCUGUGCUGUGGACCCUCACUUUACUACUCCCCUAUGGGACUGUGCAACGAGCUGAAAUAAUGUUGGAAAAAAAUACUAUAAACUUACUAGAUAGGGAGCAUUUCAUUCCACCUGUAGUAUUCAGGGAAGACCUUCGAAAGGAGGCAUGAUGUGGGAGUUCCCUGGUGGUCUGGUGGUUAGGAUUUGGUGCUUUCACUGCCAUGGCCCAGGUUCAAUUCCUGGUCGGGGAACUGAGAUCGCACCAGCUGUGCCGUGUGGCCAAAAAAUAAAUAAAUAAAUAAAUAAAGGAGGCAUGAUGUGAGUUGAAGGACAAGCUGGAUUUCAGCGGGUGGGGAAGGAAAGAGGUCAUGAAGGAUGAGGUAGGUGUGCAUAGGUGGGUAGGGGAGAUGAAGAAAGAUGCUGCAGAUGACAGAAGGGAAUGAGAAGGAAUAUAACUUCAAGGCAAUUUGGGGAAAUAGUGGGUAGGCCAGUUUGGCAGGAGAUAACUUGGAAAGGUACAGAUGAUGGCGGGAUGAACUUGAUCCCUGAAGGCAAUGGGAAGCUAUUGAAAACUUUUGGGCUCGCAAACAGCAUGAGUAGAAAAUCUUCCUGGCUUCCUCCAGACCAAAACUGGACCUCAAGACUUGGAAACCCAUCCUGCCCAGUGACUGAAUUUAGUUAGAAGUUAAGCCCAAAUACAGAACAUGGGUUUCAAGGGUCUCAGGUCUCAGUGGUACAAUUAGGCUACUUUGUUUACUUUCCUUUUUCAUGUAAAAUCACUGUUGUAGAAUGAACUUAUUUACAAAACAGAAAUAGAGUCACAGAUGUAGAAAACGAACUUACGGUUAC